rnacentral:lncRNA from 1 species
ACUUCAAGUUUUGUUGUCAACAAAAGCUUCCUCCUUAGGGAAUUUAUUUCUUCUUGCAUUAUACAUAGGAAACAAUAGUUUUGUGAAAGUACAUGUAGAAAAAUACCAACAUGGAUUUCAUGUUUCUCAAGAAAUUCACACUCUUCUUCCUCCUUAUUUCUGGCUCAAUCUUAGCAACUUCUUUUGCUGGUUAGUCUUUUCUUAAUUAUAGUGUUUCAUAUAUAUUAUAUUAAAUUUAUACUAUGUUGUUGGGCUUAGUUUAACAUAUGUAAAUUAAAUUACUAAUUUAUAUUUGAUUCCAUGAUUUUGGUUCAUAAGCCAUGUGAUCAACUUGGUAACUUUAAUCUUUGAAAUUGAUUUUUUUUUUUUGCAUAAUGUUCAAUUAUAUAUAUUAGAUGAAAGAAAAAGUUAUCACCUAUGUGUUCUUAUUGCAUGUGCAGGUCGAGCAUCUAAUUUCACUUUCAGUAGAAAAAAAUCAGUUUCAAUUGUUGGUUAAGCGUUCCUUAAAAUUCUCCAUAAGGUUCUCGUAACCUUCCUUAUUUUCAUUUACUAUUUAUUUUCUUUUGCUUCUCCUUGUUUCUCUCUUCUUUGACCAACAAUCGCUUCAAUGGUAUAACAAUUUCAAUUGAUUGAAACGUGGGCAAGUAUAACAUGUAUUAGAACCGUUGGAUUGUAAUGGUGCAUGGAUCUUUUGGGGCACUUGAUUUUCCUCUUGAUAUGCCAGCAGAGUCACAGAUUAAUACACAACCAUCUCCUUUUUUAUUUUUAUUUUUUUCCUCUCACAUUUUAUUUUGGUAUAUCCUCUCACAUUUUUUAUUCAGUUGUUUAUUGUGUUUCUAUUUUCUUUUUUGUCAAAUUUGUCGAAUGGCUAUAAAAUCCACCUUAAAGGUGAAUAAGUGGAGUGUCUCGAGUUUGAACACGACCUCCUGUACAUAUAGUACGAUAUCCCUACCAACUGAGCUAAACUCACGGAGACUAUUGUGUUUCUAUUUCUAUCGUAUUUUUAUUUCUUUAAAAAAGUCGGACCGGUCCAAAGAUAAGACAACUAAACCAAGAAUUUUAGACCCGAAAAAGAAAUAUACUAAAAGAAAAAUGUAGCUUAUAAAUUCUAAGUUCAUUAGUUUAUGGUAGAAAAAUAUCUUGGAGAAAAACAUAAAGACAUUAUAGAAAACAAAUUAUAAAAUAAAACAAAAACUUUACAAUUCUACAAAAAUUUAAACAAUUAUUUUUUUUAUUCACUUUAAAAUCCACUUUAUGCGUCCCGUGACCUUAGUUCGAUUGAAAUGGACAUUACCAAACAACUUUAAUUUUAGUUUUAAAGCUAUUAUUUUUAGCUUUAUGAUUAAAAGAACUUCUACACCUAAAAAAAAUUGUGUCAAACGAUACCUGAAAGACAUAAACUCCUCAUUAUAUUAAAAGACACAAGUAGUAUUAUAUUAAAAAUUGUAAGAAUUAUUUAUUUUAGGAUAAAAUAUUUUUACAAAUUUGUACAAAAUAAAAAUUACAAAUGAGUCUUGAAACGGAGAAAGUAAAAAAAAUUAGAAUAAAGGUUGAUAGUUCAAAUAAAUAAAUAAAGGUUUAUUUUUUUUUAAACCAAACAAAUUUAAUUCAUAUCAUUAACUAAUAAGUGUUCAAUACAUAAGAAAGGUUAAAAAUAAUAAGUUAAAGGACAAAAGAAAAAAUAUUCUGUAUAACAAAAAAAAAACUAAAAAAAAACUGAUAUGGAAAGCUUUACAAAAAAUUUCAUAGGCCCUUUUAAUCUAAAGGUUCUUAAUGGUUACUCAUAGAUAAGAAAUAUGAUAGGCUCGUUCUCUCACCCUAACCUGAGCCUGAAACAAAUACACAAAAGUACAUUUGAAAAACCAAACCUUCAAAGGUGUACAAAUACUUGUCAAAAAAAGUUGUAACGGCGGUGGAGGAGAUUGAACUGUGGAGGAGUGAUUGAACGGCGGAGGGGAUUGUGCGAUAUACGAUUAUGGAUUUGGUCGUGUUUUGGGGUUGAGAUUUUCCCCCCANNNNNNNNNNNNNNNNNNNNNNNNNNNNNNNNNNNNNNNNNNACUAAGAAGGAAUUUCACAUGUGUUUUGGUGGUGUGAGAGAGAAGAAGAAAAAAAAUUAAAAUAUAAAACUGAAAAGAAGGUCACACAUGUGAGAGGUUUCUUGAUGAGCAAAUUGACCAAUACACCCCUUUAUGUUGUAUAUUUGUUGAGGAUUUGUGUCCCAAUAGCAUUUCUGGUCACAAAAAGAGGAUGGUUUAUGAUGUAUGUUAAACAACCUAUGUAUAUGAUGUAUGUUUCACAACAAAUAUCAUCUUGUAAUUCUCAUAAAAAAUUAAAGAAAAUGUUAAACAGUGUCCAGGGUACUAGUUAAGAAUAUUAAUAUAGAAAUUUUAUCUUAGAAUUUGUACAUUCAACAUAUUAAAAAUGUAAAAAGUCAUAUUAAUUAUCAUUAAUUUUAUCUUUUUAUUUCUUGUUUUGAUAUACUUAACUAGUGUCGUGGAGUCACAGUUUAGAAUGCCCAAAAAUUAAUAUCAUUCUCACCUUUCACAAGAUACGUACGUCAUAAACAAGUAUCACCAGAACACCAUACCUUUCUUGAACAUGGUGACUCAUCUCAAUAUUAUUCAUCAUAAAUUAUACGUACAACAUAUAAAUCCACAAUGGAAACAUAGGGUGAGUGUCUUUCAAUGGGAAACUUUUUUGAGGUAAAGUAAUGUUUUGAGGAAAUUCAAAUGAUUUGAGGUGAAUUUCAUUGUUUGGAUGAUAAUUCGAAGAAUUUUCAAAAUAAUGGAAAUUUAUGAAGUGUUUUGUUCAAGUUAAAUUUAGAGAAUUUCAAAAUGACACCCAAAAUCAAAAAAUUUGAAAUUUCUUCUUCUCUAUAAACUUCUAAAAAUUACUAAUUGAUCAAAAAACCUAAAAUUAGCAAAAAAAACCUAAAAUCGACUAUAAAUGCUAAAAUUGGCUGAAAAAACCAAAAAUCGACUAUAAAGCCUAAAAUCGACUAUAAACCCUAAAAUCGGCCGAAAACCCAAAAAAUUGCAGAAAAACCUAAAUCAACCAAAAUCCCAAAAAACGACUAUAAAUCCUAAAAUCGACCGAAAACCCAAAAAAAUCAGCUGAAAAACCAAAAAAUAUGCCGAAAAAUCCAAAGUCGACCCUAAACCCAAAAAACUCGCCCGAAAACCUAAAAUCGACCAAAAACCCAAAAAUCAACUAUAAACCCUAAAAUCGAUCAAAAACCUAAAAAAUCAGCCAAAAAACCUAAAUUCGACCGAAAACCCAAAAAACCGACCGAAAAACAAAAAUCGGCCAAAAUCCCAAAAAUCAACUAUAAAUCCAAAAAAUCGAGCAAAAUCUUAAAAGUUCAAUAUAAACCCUAAAAUCGGCCGAAAAACUUAAAAUCGAUCGAAAACUCAAAAAAUUGACCGAAAACCUAAAAUCAACUAUAAACCCAAAAAACUCGGCCGAAAACCUAAACUCAGCCGAUUUUUUGUUUUUCGGUCGACUUUAGGGUUUAUAUUGGAUUUUUGGGUUUUUGGCUGAUUUUAGGUUUUUCGGCCGAUUUUUUGGUUUAGGGUCAUUUUUUGGUUUUUCGACUGAUUAUUUUGUUUUUCGGCCGAUUUUAGAGUUUAAAGUCGAUUUUAGGGUUUUUCGUCGAUUUUAGGUUUUUCUGCCAUUUUUUGGGUUUAGGGUCGAUUUUUGGUUUUUCGACUGAUUUUUUGAGGUUUCGGCCAAUUUUUUAGUUUAUAGUCGAUUUUAGGGUUUUUUGUCGAUUUUAGAUUUUUCGGCCGAUUUUUUGAAUUUCAGGUCGAUUUUGGGUUUACGGUUUAUUUUAGGUUUUCAGCCGCUUUUUUUUGGGUUUAGUGUCAAUUUUAUUAAGAUAAAUAAAAUUAAGUGAAAGAAAGAAUUUUAUUACCCAAACAAAGAAUUUUACGAUUGAUGAAAUUUCACCACUUUAUCCAAACAAUGAAAUUUGAAAAUCAAGGAAUUCAAUUGAAUCAAUUGAAUUGCCUAGUAUUUAAAAUCCCUUGAAUUUUAUAGAAUCCUCGUCCAAACAUACUUUAGAUUACAUCAAAAGCGUGAUUCAAUUCUUUACUAACAACUAAAACUUCAAUCCUCGUUAAUAUCCUCGUUAAUCGUGUGCAUUUUCAAAGCUGUAGUGAUUUAAACUAAUAAACCCAAUACACAACCGUUACUUCAUUUUUUCCUUACUCACUUUCAGCAACACAUAGCUCCCAUUCUCUAUUGUUCUCUCACGCCACACUAGUACAGAAUGAAGAUUCCACGUCGGGCAGAAACCACUUUUCACGUCGGUUUUGGACCCGACGUAAAGACUAUCGUCGUUGUAAGUAUGGAGAUUCCACGUUGGUUCAAUUUUUAAAAUUGGUUGUAUUGUGAAGGCACAUAUAGACUAACAUUUUUACGGUCUUUAUUUGGUUGGGUUUUUUUAUUAUGGAAAUCCACACGAUAUGUAUUUGUGAGUCCUAACUGUAGCUUUUCAUAACUCAGUCAGUUAUGCCGACGUUCUAGAGACCUAUUCACCUCUAGCCGUCGUUGAAAAUUAUGAAUUAAUACGAUUAUUUAUGUUGUGUGUUACACAUUUAUGGAUUAUGUUUAUGAUUGUGUAAAUUUGAUGAUGACUCUUGACUAAUGAUCAACUGUAAAUAAGUAUCUCAUGACUACUGACACCCUAGGUACCCUAGGUGGGAACUCAUUGAGGCUUUUGUCUCAUCACAUGCCCUUUUAUAUUUGCAGAUAAGCAGGAUGAGCAAUAUGGACGGACAUAAGGGGGGGCAAGUAGGGGCUGAGGCCCCCCCUCUUGCGGUAUUUUUUUUCAUAUACCUGUUGAUAUAUAUGUACACAUAAAUUGAUAUUUGAGAGAUGUGUUUAAAGAUUAGUAACUACUGUUUGGUGCAAAACAUGUACCCACAGCAUAGUAAU